GCAGAUGGUCUAGGGAGGAACUG
rnacentral:piRNA from 1 species